rnacentral:rRNA from 1 species
UAGUGAGCGGCAGAGUGAAGCGGCAACAGCUCAAAUUUGAAAUCUGGCUCUUUUAGAGUCCGAGUUGUAAUUUGCAGAGGGCGCUUUGGCGUUGGCAGCGGUCCAAGUUCUUUGGAACAGGACGUCACAGAGGGUGAGAAUCCCGUACGUGGUCGCUAGCCUUCGCCGUGUAAAGCCCCUUCGACGAGUCGAGUUGUUUGGGAAUGCAGCUCUAAAUGGGAGGUAAAUUUCUUCUAAAGCUAAAUACUGGCCAGAGACCGAUAGCGCACAAGUAGAGUGAUCGAAAGAUGAAAAGCACUUUGGAAAGAGAGUCAAAUAGCACGUGAAAUUGUUGAAAGGGAAGCGCUUGCAGCCAGACUUGCCUGUAGUUGCUUAUCCGGACUUUUGUCCGGUGCACUCUUCUGCGGGCAGGCCAGCAUCAGUCUAGGCGGUUGGAUAAAGGUCUCUGUCAUGUACCUCUCUUCGGGGAGGCCUUAUAGGGGAGACGACAUGCAACCAGCCUGGACUGAGGUCCGCGCAUCUGCUAGGAUGCUGGCGUAAUGGCUGUAAGCGGCCCGUCUUGAAACACGGACCAAGGAGUCUAACAUCUAUGCGAGUGUUUGGGUGUCAAGCCCAGACGCGUAAUGAAAGUGAACGGAGGUGGGAACCCUUUGGGUGCACCAUCGACCGAUCCUGAUGUCUUCGGAUGGAUUUGAGUAAGAGCAUGGCUGUUGGGACCCGAAAGAUGGUGAACUAUGCUUGAAUAGGGUGAAGCCAGAGGAAACUCUGGUGGAGGCUCGCAGCGGUUCUGACGUGCAAAUCGAUCGUCAAAUUUGGGCAUAGGGGCGAAAGACUAAUCGAACUAUCUAGUAGCUGGUUCCUGCCGAAGUUUCCCUCAGGAUAGCAGUAACGUAUUCAGUUUUAUGAGGUAAAGCGAAUGAUUAGAGGCCUGGGGGUUGAAACAACCUUCACCUAUUCUCAAACUUUAAAUAUGUAAGAAGUCCUUGUUACUUGAUUGAACGUGGACACUUGAAUGUACCGUUACUAGUGGGCCAUUUUUGGUAAGCAGAACUGGCGAUGCGGGAUGAACCGAACGCGGGGUUAAGGUGCCAGAAUAUACGCUCAUCAGACACCACAAAAGGUGUUAGUUCAUCUAGACAGCAGGACGGUGGCCAUGGAAGUCGGAAUCCGCUAAGGAGUGUGUAACAACUCACCUGCCGAAUGAACUAGCCCUGAAAAUGGAUGGCGCUCAAGCGUAUUACCCAUACCCCGCCGCCGGGGCAGAAUUUAUGCCCCGGCGAGUAGGCAGGCGUGGAUGGCUCGUGA